rnacentral:rRNA from 1 species
GAUGAACGCUAGCUACAGGCUUAACACAUGCAAGUCGAGGGGCAGCAUGCAGGUAGCUUGCUAUCUGUGAUGGCGACCGGCGCACGGGUGAGUAACGCGUAUCCAACCUGCCCAUGACUCAGGGAUAACCUUCCGAAAGGGAGCCUAAUACCUGAUGUUCUGCGACGAUGGCAUCAGAAUUGCAGUAAAGAUUCAUCGGUCAUGGAUGGGGAUGCGUGGGAUUAGGUAGACGGCGGGGUAACGGCCCACCGUGCCAUCGAUCCUUAGGGGUUCUGAGAGGAAGGUCCCCCACACUGGUACUGAGACACGGACCAGACUCC